UGGUGCGGCUCUCAGCGUUUUACAAGCGGCGACAUGGGGUGUCGGGGGUCGGAGGUUCAAAUCCUCUCGUGCCGACCA
rnacentral:tRNA from 1 species